rnacentral:rRNA from 1 species
UACGAAGGGGGCUAACGUUGUUCGGAUUUACUGGGCGUAAAGCGCACGUAGGCGGAUCGUUAAGUCGGGGGUGAAAUCCUGGAGCUCAACUCCAGAACUGCCUUCGAUACUGGCGAUCUUGAGUCCGGAAGAGGUGAGUGGAACUCCUAGUGUAGAGGUGGAAUUCGUAGAUAUUAGGAAGAACACCAGUGGCGAAGGCGGCUCACUGGUCCGGUACUGACGCUGAGGUGCGAAAGCGUGGGGAGCAAACAGG